AGAUGGCAGUAGGACACAAUGGCGAAGAGAAAAUUAUAACAGAAAAGUUCAACCCUUUUCACAUGUGUCCGUUCAUUCUUACAAAGUGUUGUUUCCUCGUGCUGCAAAUCUGCACAGAUGAGAUAUUAGUCAAUUGUUUCAUAGGUGUUGAAGGCUGUGAAUAACAAAUCACCCACAAGAUGGACCUGCACUGGAAAUGAUCAAUAGCAGAAUGUACACAGCAGGAAGUUAAAUAUCUGCAUUAGCCUACAUGAAAAUGAUAAUAAGCGAUGACAUUAUUAAUGCAGAAAUGGUCCAUCACUACAACAAAGCAGUGGAGUUGUUAUGCUAGCCUGCCCAUAUAAACACAUUAAUUCAGGAGAGAAUGUGUUCGGGAAAAGUGUCAUGUCAUUUAAUAGUUAGCUAGGUGCAGAAGAACUCCAGCCACAACCAUACACCUAGAGGCUAGCGCUGGAGGUUGUAACUUUGACUUCAUUGUUUGUCUACCAAGAGACGGCUUUUCAACUCACACUUUGACACAUGAGGAGUAAUGGGGGGGAGAGAUCAAAGUUUAAAAAGAGAGAGAGCCAUUCCAUCAAGUCUCUCCUCCGCACUGAGUGCCUCCCCUUCAGAAAGUAACUAUAUAAUCCAUCCCAUUACUUUGGGGCAAACAACUGAACAGGAUGCUCCAACAAGUGCCAAGGGGAAAAACUGCCUAAAUAGUAACAGUUUUUCACAGCAGCUUCUCCCUACUUCUAAACUAGGCCUAAUCCUCAUGCUCAGUUAUUAUUCUCAGUGGGGCUGUGGAGGGUUAGUCUGGCUAAAACCUAACUCUUCAAGUCCUCUGGACUUCAGAGUCUGUAAUUGCUCUUUGAUGUUGUGGUCGAGUGUGGUCACAGCUCUCCCCACGCUUUAAGUCACGUGGCUCGCGUCAGCCAGGCUAGCUGCAGAUAUGUUGGCAGGCAAAAACUGCAUAUCCCAUACCCUGGCUACAUGUCCAGGUACACACAGACAGUGUGUGAUCACUAAGGUUGCAAAAUUCCAGGAACUUUAGAUAAAUUCCCUGGUUUUCUAUAAAUCCUGGUUGCAUUGUUCAGAUUUCCUGCGUAUCCCGGGAAUCCUCCAACCAGGAUUUCCAGAAAACCUGGGAAUUUAUUGAAAGUUCCCGGAAUUUUGCAACCCUGGGGGUCACAGAUGCCGCCGUUAUUCCUGCAGCAUUCAAGCUGUCAGAGUGUAGCACUGUGUGUGUGAGAAGGAGCAAGAUAAGAGACAGAGAGCAGAAUUCAGGGACUGAGAUGGAGUACACUUCUGGCUAAGCCCAGGGCCCUGACUGCAAUGUCAUUCCUUCACAUAUGCUGCCAAAUUCUGGCAUCCAACAAUGUGAGGCUCCUCUCAACAACAUAAAGACUACUACAGCAUAUUGCUCUCCAUGUUUACCUAGUUCUGCAACACAGCAGGCCUAUUUUUAAAUAUCUAUAAAUAGUCACAUCUCCAAAAAACACCUAAUAAACUUUGACAAAUGGGCAAAGGGAAAAUACUAUUUGAUCACCAAAUAAUAGUACUCAGUAAGAGAGAACCAAACUCCACUCCGUAAGCAACGUUGUGUAAUGCGUGUCUUGAUCAACAAAAGCUCUUGAGAAAAAUAACCAAACCACCUGGUAAUGUUAGCUAACAUUAGUAGUUAGCUGUGCUCCUCGAUUAGCUAACGUUAACUGUUUCAAAGUAGGCCAAGAUAAUGAAUUGGUUCUGACAGACAACAGAUUAGUGGCUAGCUAGCAAGUCAAGUUAUAUACUUCACAUUUCGUGUAGCUGACUAAACUCAACGAUUUCCGAUGGAGUUGAGUGGUGAUUAGUGUGUACAGACAGCAGCGUCAACGUCAAGUUUUUACACUGGUCGGGGCUCCAGUCCGCCCACACUAGUCAUCGCUCAACUCCAUCAUAAAUCGUGGAAUUGAGUCAGCUACCUUUUCUGGUACCUUUAGUAUUUUUCGGCUGGGUAGUUAGCUAGCUGCACAGCUAGGGAACAGUCAAGAUCUGCGCAUGGGUGUCCUAGAAGUCCACAAUUAUUUUAAAGGGGUAUUUGUAAAAUCCUAUUAGACAUCUAUAAUCCAUAACUCCUUGUCCAUCCAGACUGUAUAAUGUGCAGAUAUCUGUAAAGAAACUGUCUGAGACAACUUUUCUCCAAACCUAUAACUUCUGAUCUUACACAUAGCCUACCACUGUCUACCCCAGCCAAGUAUAUAAAUAGAUAGAUAUAUAGAUGCCGGUUUGGAGAGAAGUUUGGCUCAGAAGCUUUCUUUAGUUAUCCACACAUUAUACAAUUUGGAUGGGCAGACAAGCAGUUAGGGAUUAUAGAUAUGCCUUCAGUAACAGUAUUUUCUGGAAGCAAGUACCCCUCUAAAGCAUUUUGUUAGUUAUUUUCCAGGCUCUAAUUGAAGUCGUCUAGGACACCCAUGCGCGAAUGCUAAACCCUAUAUAGACCCAGUCGGUAUUAGAUAAAACGUUGCGGCCCCUCCCACCUGUGGGGAACAACCUGUGGUUAGCCCAUUGUCUCACAGCAAAUAAUUAAUUUUUUUGGUCUGCUUGUUUUAGUCAAUUACAAAACUACAUUUAAGCAAAGUACAUGUCUAAAGAUUACUUUUCAGCAUUGCCGGUUCCCGAGUGUUCUCACUAGUUAGAAAAACGCAAUAUUGUGGCGCUGCCCCUUUUUAUGACGCUGUUAGCAGCCACGAGUGAGUGCUAGCUAGCCAAGCACCACAACACAAACAGACUAUACAACUACUACUGGGCUUUACGCAUUUGGUGCUGCUCUUCUCUAUGACUGUGGUCUCUCAGAACCAGCCUCAAGACUGCUCAGAGGUAUAUGACAAUAGCUUCACCCACAGUGGAGUGUUUACCAUCUACCCUGCUGGCCCCACGUCUGUUGUCUAUGCCUACUGUGACAUGGACACUGAUGGAGUGAAAUGGACUUUCUUCCAGAGACAAAUUGAUGGGUCUGUGAACUUCUACAGAGACUUGGACCACUACAAGAAUGGCUUUGAGCAUGCUGCAGGAGACCACUGGCUGGGGUGAUGCCCUCUCCCACUACAACAUCCAGAGGUUUUCCACCUGCGACCGGGACAAGGACAGCAGCCAUGUGAACUGUGCUGAAAGUUACCUGGGAGGCGUCUAGUAGACCAAGCGCUACAGCGCUAACCCCAACUGUGUCUAUAGCCAGAAUAGUCUGCAAAAUUGCAAAUUGAUCACAACUAUGCCCAAAAAAAGAUUGUAUUUGAAAAUAACAAUAAUUGUAUACCUUGAUUACAUUAAGACACAAUCACAUAAUUAUGUCUCUUUUUUUUAUUUGUGCGAAUACUUGGGAACAGAUUUCUGAAAUUAAACCAUUUGUUUGCUGAAUUCCUUUUUACUAAAAACUUUGGGGGGCCCAAGAAAAUCACUCAUGGCUGGUUUUGGUCACCUGUUGCCGACCGCUGCUAUACUACAAUGUAUGUAGGCCUAUAAUGUUUUUUGUUUUGUUUGUCUG